GAAAGCGGUGCUAAUACCGGAUAAGACCACAGCCGUUUCGGCGGCAGAGGUAAAAGCUGACCUCUCCAUGGAAGUUAGCGUUCGAAGACGGGCCCGCGUCCUAUCAGCUUGUUGGUGGGGUAAAGGCCUACCAAGGCAGCGACGGGUAGCUGGUCUGAGAGGAUGAUCAGCCACACUGGAACUGGAACACGGUCCAGACUCCUACGGGAGGCAGCAGUGAGGAAUUUUGCGCAAUGGGGGAAACCCUGACGCAGCAACGCCGCGUGGGUGAAGAAGGCUUUCGGGUCGUAAAGCCCUGUCAGGUGGGAAGAAACUCUUCAGUACUAAUAAUGCUGAAGCCUGACGGUACCACCAGAGGAAGCACCGGCCAACUCCGUGCCAGCAGCCGCGGUAAUACGGAGGGUGCAAGCGUUGUUCGGAAUUAUUGGGCGUAAAGAGCGUGUAGGCGGCUUGGUAAGUCAGAUGUGAAAGCCCUGGGCUCAACCCAGGAAGUGCAUUUGAAACUACCAGACUUGAGUACGGGAGAGGAGGGGGGAAUUCCCGGUGUA
rnacentral:rRNA from 1 species